rnacentral:rRNA from 1 species
UACGAAGGGGCUAGCGUUGCUCGGAAUCACUGGGCGUAAAGCGCACGUAGGCGGACUCUUAAGUCAGGGGUGAAAUCCUGGAGCUCAACUCCAGAACUGCCUUUGAUACUGGGAGUCUUGAGUUCGGGAGAGGUGAGUGGAACUGCGAGUGUAGAGGUGAAAUUCGUAGAUAUUCGCAAGAACACCAGUGGCGAAGGCGGCUCACUGGCCCGAUACUGACGCUGAGGUGCGAAAGCGUGGGAG